GGGGCCCGCUAACCGUAUAACCAACGAAGAUACCGAUCUAUUGCUGAUGUUGUUACUGUUAUUACUAUCAUACUGGAUUACUACUCUCUCAGGAGUCUUGAAUACUGGGACUAUAACAUUCACAUCAUCAUCUACAUGACGGGACUUGACAAUCUGAAUCAAACCUUCAUCUAUAAACCUCUGGAUAUCUCUCUUCACAAC
rnacentral:lncRNA from 1 species